rnacentral:rRNA from 1 species
GAUGAACGCUGGCGGCGUGCCUAAUACAUGCAAGUCGAGCGAACAGACGAGGAGCUUGCUCCUCUGACGUUAGCGGCGGACGGGUGAGUAACACGUGGAUAACCUACCUAUAAGACUGGGAUAACUUCGGGAAACCGGAGCUAAUACCGGAUAAUAUAUUGAACCGCAUGGUUCAAUAGUGAAAGACGGUUUUGCUGUCACUUAUAGAUGGAUCCGCGCCGCAUUAGCUAGUUGGUAAGGUAACGGCUUACCAAGGCAACGAUGCGUAGCCGACCUGAGAGGGUGAUUGGCCACACUGGAACUGAGACACGGUCCAGACUCCCACGGGAGGCAGCAGUAGGGAAUCUUCCGCAAUGGGCGAAAGCCUGACGGAGCAACGCCGCGUGAGUGAUGAAGGUCUUCGGAUCGUAAAACUCUGUUAUUAGGGAAGAACAAAUGUGUAAGUAACUAUGCACGUCUUGACGGUACCUAAUCAGAAAGCCACGGCUAACUACGUG